rnacentral:rRNA from 1 species
CACGUAGGGCGCAAGCGUUGUCCGGAAUUAUUGGGCGUAAAGAGCGUGUAGGCGGCCAGGUAGGUCCGUUGUGAAAACUCGAGGCUCAACCUCGAGACGUCGACGGAAACCAUCUGGCUAGAGUCCGGAAGAGGAGAGUGGAAUUCCCGGUGUAGCGGUGAAAUGCGCAGAUAUCGGGAAGAACACCCGUGGCGAAGGCGGCUCUCUGGGACGGUACUGACGCUGAGACGCGAAAGCGUGGGGAGCGAACAGG